UGACCCUAGUGACCAGCCCUACUGGCGGC
rnacentral:piRNA from 1 species